rnacentral:rRNA from 1 species
GAUGAACGCUGGCGGCGUGCCUAAUACAUGCAAGUCGAGCGAACGGACGAGAAGCUUGCUUCUCUGAUGUUAGCGGCGGACGGGUGAGUAACACGUGGAUAACCUACCUAUAAGACUGGGAUAACUUCGGGAAACCGGAGCUAAUACCGGAUAAUAUUUUGAACCGCAUGGUUCAAAAGUGAAAGACGGUCUUGCUGUCACUUAUAGAUGGAUCCGCGCUGCAUUAGCUAGUUGGUAAGGUAACGGCUUACCAAGGCAACGAUGCAUAGCCGACCUGAGAGGGUGAUCGGCCACACGGGAACUGAGACACGGUCAAGACUCCUACGGGAGGCAGCAGUCGGGAAUAUUGCACAAUGGGCGAAAGCCUGACGGAGCAACGACGCGUGAGUGAUGAAGGCCUUCGGAUCGUAAAACUCUGUUAUUGGGAAAGAACAUAUGUAUAAGAAACUGUCCCUAUCUUGACGGUACCAAAACAAAAAGCAACGGCUAACUACGUG